rnacentral:lncRNA from 1 species
CGGCCCCUUUACCAUCCUCACCUUCAUAUGUUCAACUUAUAUUGGCAUUACUCUUGAAUUAUCUUGUCUCCAUUAGUCCUCUAUGCUUCAGUUUCCAUGAACAUCUCUCUAUGUAACUUCAUAUAUCAUUACGUAGCAAUACAGUUUGCAACUUCUUCCUAUUAUUAUCCUGUGCUCGCAGUUUAUGUUGUCAUAAUCAAGGAUCUUUACAUAUGUAUGCAGCUGCUGCAGUUGAUAGGCUAUAGCUUCACCUCUUAUCUGUGCUCGCCUAUGCUCUCU